rnacentral:other from 1 species
AUCUGUAAAACGUCAAACCAGCGAAAGUUGCGCUGUCUGAUGUGCUUAGUGGCUAUUUGAACCGCCAGUUUUUCGCUGUUUUUUAAAUUUUUUUGUAUGAAAGUAACAUAAUUAUGGCAACUGGUAUUGUUAAAUGGUUUAAUGACGCUAAAGGUUUUGGUUUUAUCACACCUGACGAAGGUGGCGAAGAUUUGUUCGCACACUUCUCUGCGAUUAAUAUGGAAGGCUUCAAAACUUUGAAAGAAGGUCAAAAAGUUUCUUUUGAAGUAACCACUGGCCCUAAAGGCAAACAGGCUUCUAAUAUCCAAGCAGCAUAAACCCAUAAUUCCUAAUUAAUUAUGAUGAUGGAAACGGCAGAUUCAACUUAAUCUGUCGUUUUUG